AGCAGCCGCGGUAAUUCCAGCUCCAAUAGCGUAUAUUAAAGUUGUUGCAGUUAAAAAGCUCGUAGUUGAACUUCGGGAUUUACCCAUUGGUCAGGCUUAAUUGUCUGUACUGGUGAGAUAAAUCUCUAGCUUCUGAGGAACUUUCAUGCCAUUUAUUUGGUGUGAUUGGAAAUCAGGACUAUUACUUUGAAAAAAUUAGAGUGUUUAAAGCAGGCUAACGUCUGAAUAUAUUAGCAUGGAAUAAUGAAAUAGGACGGCUUGGUUCUAUUUCGUUGGUUUCUAGGAUCACCGUAAUGAUUAAUAGGGAUAGUUGGGGGCAUUAGUAUUCAAUUGUCAGAGGUGAAAUUCUUGGAUUUAUUGAAGACUAACUACUGCGAAAGCAUUUGCCAAGGAUGUUUUCAUUAAUCAAGAACGAAAGUUAGGGGAUCGAAGACGAUAAGAUACCGUCGUAUUCUUA
rnacentral:rRNA from 1 species